rnacentral:rRNA from 1 species
UACAGAGGUCUCAAGCGUUGUUCGGAUUCAUUGGGCGUAAAGGGUGCGUAGGCGGGUCUUUAAGGCAGGGGUGAAAUCCUGGAGCUCAACUCCAGAACUGCCUUUGAUACUGAAGAUCUUGAGUUCGGGAGAGGUGAGUGGAACUGCGAGUGUAGAGGUGAAAUUCGUAGAUAUUCGCAAGAACACCAGUGGCGAAGGCGGCUCACUGGCCCGAUACUGACGCUGAGGCACGAAAGCGUGGGGAGCGAACAGG